rnacentral:rRNA from 1 species
UACAGGGGGUGCAAACGUUGCUCGGAAUCAUUGGGCGUAAAGCGCGCGUAGGCGGCCCGGUAAGUCCGCUGUAAAAGUCAAAGGCUCAACCUUUGAAUGUCAGUGGAUACUGCCGGGCUAGAGUCCGGAAGAGGCGAGUGGAAUUCCUGGUGUAGCGGUGGAAUGCGCAGAUAUCAGGAGGAACACCAACGGCGAAGGCAGCUCGCUAGGACGGUACUGACGCUAAGGCGCGAAAGCGUGGGGAGCGAACAGG